AUCCCAGGCUCCUUUUUUCUCAAAACCCAGCAGAGUGAGAUGGCCCCCCUCUCUGCUCCCGCAGCUCCCUGUCUAGCACAGAUACUAAAGAGGUAUCGCUCUAAGGAGACUUCACACAUUCUGCUAAUGCAAAAGAGGAGAUUAAAGCCCAAUGGGGAGAAACUGGACUGCAUCUCAACCAUGCAACUGGUCUAUGAAUUUGACCUUUCAACAACCUGCUGACCGAGGAUUCCCCAGGAGCCUCAGAUCAAGGAAAUAACAUCCCCCCAGAAGAGAGAAUAAAAACAGAAUUAAAAAAGAAAGAAAGAAAGAAAGAAAGCAAGCUUGAUACCCGGCUAUGCUGGUAUCUUUCUAAAGCACUAACACCAUAAUAAAGGCUUUCCGCUUUUGUUUCAUUAUGUGGCAGCCAGAGCCUAUAAACACUGUCGGUGGUAGAGAAAACAGCGUCUAGAAACAAAUAAGAAAAACUAAAGAUGAAACUGGGAAUAUGUGCACGGCUUACACUUUGGUAUUCUGUGGUCAUGACAGCUUUUGCUCUUAUGAAAGUACUGUGUGUGCUGUUCUUUUUCUCUGUAAUGAUUUCUGAAACCGUGUGACUUGCAGAAUUUGCCUUUUUAAAAAAAAUGCAGUGAGUGUUUAAUCGUUCGGGGUGUGAGUAACCACAUUCUGUUCAAGUACGCUUCCAGCCUUCCCGCUCCUCCUUAUCAGCGACAGUACUCCAAACACUUGUCUCAAUUUUCAGAUCAAAGCUGAUGAAAAACAGACCUCUACAGGGUUGAAUUGCUCUCUGCAUUUUGGGGCCUCAGAAGAAAAUACCGUCAGCACUAGAGAAGGCUGAAUGUUUUUUGGUGCUUUAUCUUUAGUUGGUAAAUUCUGCUUUACCUUUCUAGUUUGCUUAUUUUCUUACUCUGCCAGUGUCAUCCGCUUCGUGAAAUGUAUCUUUUAAUUAAUUAUUCUUGUCUCUAAGUGUCUUCCGUGGCUCAUGGUCAGGGCAAGAAUUUAUAUUAGCAAAAUAGGAUCUGUCACUAAAGGGGAAAUAUCUUGGCUUCUUUCAACACGGAAUUAACCUCAUUUAACCGAUAAUCACCUUAAUUGAUUUUCCAGAUAAAUCUUUUUGUUGGUUAUGUUUUCUUUGAAGUUGCAUAUAGGACAGCU